CACAACGUCGCACUCCCCCCUCCUCCAUCCUCAGCCGCCGCCGCUAUUCUGCCUCCCUCCUCUCUGUCCUAUGACCACGCUGCUGGGAGGAAGCGGCCGUUCGUGGCUCCAUACCUCAGUUGAAGUGCCACGCAAGAGGUCAGGGGCUGCCACCACCAUGAACCAGGACAAAGGCGACGCCCGUUGAAGAGCCUCCGGGCAUGAAGCCGAUGGCGAACAUGCCGUCUCUCUGUCAAGAAGCCUCUAGGAGGACCUACCGGCCGGUCCCGUGUCGUCGAGCAAGGGCCGCCGGUUGCGUCGUUGUGUGAGGAGGCACGCCAAUGAGCAGUGGGGAGGAGAUGAGGACACGCCCCUGACUCCCUAUUUCCUUCAAGUCGUACCUUCCCUAAGCCGUCUCUUCUAUUAGGGAGCUUCCAUAUGGGAUCUGGACUAGGAAAAGGAGAACCUAUGCGGGGAUGCGGGGCGAUGAGCCGACGACGAGUGUCGGUGAGCUGGCUGGACAAGUGCCGGGCACAUGGGCGCGGUUGGGGAGCUGCACACACAUCCAUCGACGGCGAGCACAUCCAACGCCAACACAUCGAGGUGAACUUCACCCAAUCUGUGUGUGUGUGGUCACGGUGCAGCAUCCUAGAUGGGAAGGAUGGGGGCAGUAGCGGCAGUCAAGCCCACUAUGCAUGCAAGCACAUCUGAUGCAGGGAAGAGGAAGGAGGAUGUGCGUGGACCUUUCUCUUCCUAUUGGUGCUAUGAGAUUUGUGAUAGAUGCCUGGAUGGCGGGUGGAUUCAGGGUUGGAUUUUCACUUUACGGGAAUACAGAAAUUCUUAGAUGUGGAUGCGUAUGCCACAAGCUGUGCCAACUUCAAAGGUCAAAACCCCCUGUCUGGGGCGAUUCAGGAGAGGCAUUGCUGAUUGAGAGGGGAAAGGGGGAGGAGAUGAUGACCAAAUGGCAUGGAACAACAAUGCUUAAAGCGUACUGGAGGCUGAGUAUGUUGUCUGUGCAAUGGUAUGAGCUUGGUAAAGGAAGCUCAUGGCAGCUACUUCAUUAUUGGGAGGCCUUUACUUUCUCCUUUUUCACGUCUAUACAUGGACAUACAUUCCGUUAUGACAGAAAAAUGGUGUCUGCAUUUACCCAAACAAAUUGUGACUGCAUUAGCUUCAGUCAUCACUGAAUUACUAGAGAAAAAUGGUGUCUGCAAUUACCCAAGAAACUCGGACGUACAUUAUAUUUCUUAGUUUGUGAAAAUAAACUAUUGCUGCACUUAUCACCAUCGUCGUUUCAUAUAUGUGUGGAUAACUAGAUUUGGCAACUUCUCCAAUUAUAUGUGAUGAAAUUUUUUACCUUCGUCAAUGUGCUCCGGCUCCUUCUUAAUUAGCUCCUAUGUUUCUUGUCUUUUAUCUGUACAACUUUUGGCUACACCUUCAGCAUUUUUAUGUAUAUAAUCCCCGAACAUCUUUCCAAAAAAUUUCAUUUCCCUUGCAUGUGCAAUUUACUUCGGCAAGGCCAAAGUCAAACACGAUAGUGGUAGCCCAUUGCUAAAUGGGAGAAAUUUAUCUCUAAGUAUGACAUCCUUGCAAAUUAGAUACUCUAAUAUGCAUUUGCGUGGUUGUAUUUUGCUGACAUAUCAUGUAAUUUCUUGCCAAACGCCCAAACGUAAUACCAGGUAAUUUGAAAUAACUGUGAGGUUGCAUGGUUUCAUAAUAUAUAAAAAGUAAAUUCAAGUUACAGUAGGUGUCUAAUUCUGGACUCUAAUCACAACUACUCAAUAUAAACACUUUUACCUAUAUGCUGCAGAAAGAGGCCAACAAGUUAUCUGAGUGCACUGAUGAUAGUUUUUUCUUUCCAGAAUACAUUGAAUUGUUGUGAUAGAAGUGUGGCAUCUCAUAACCUUCUCCUAGUUAGAGCUUUAUAUCGUAUUCUAUAUAGUAUAAUGUUGGUUUCAGAAUCAUCUUCCCAUCCCUCCACGAGUGAUUUGGAUGGUCAGGAAGUCAUCGGUUGCUCUAAUGCGGGAGGAAGCAGUUCCAGAACUGGAUAGAGAAUGUACCUUUCAUUCUCUUAUAGUCUAUUGCUUGGUGUUGGCGCUGCAAGUUUGGUUUUCCUUUAGAAUGAUAGACAAGGCAGAAGACACAUGUGGCUUCUUUAGCAGUACAUGUUGUAUUUGCAUCUUUAACACCAUCUCUUUCCACAAAUAUUGAGAUGCUUCAGGGUAAAAAGCACUAAAAGAUUAUUUUGAUUAUGAUUUCC